rnacentral:rRNA from 1 species
CUACGGGUCGCUCCAGUGGGGAAUAUUGGACAAUGGGGGAAACCCUGAUCCAGCAAUGCCGCGUGUGUGAAGAAGGCCUGCGGGUUGUAAAGCACUUUCGGUUGGGAGGACUGCUUCUAGCACUAAUAUUGUUGGAAGUUGACGUUACCUUCAGAAGAAGCACCGGCUAACUCCGUGCCAGCAGCCGCGGUAAUACGGGAGGUGCAAGCGUUAAUCGGAAUUACUGGGCGUAAAGCGCGCGUAGGCGGCUAGAUCAGUCGGGUGUGAAAGCCCCGGGCUUAACCUGGGAACUGCAUCCGAUACUGUCUAGCUUGAGUACAGGAGAGGAGAGUGGAAUUCCACAUGUAGCGGUGAAAUGCGUAGAUAUGUGGAGGAACACCAAUGGCGAAGGCAGCUCUCUGGCCUGAUACUGACGCUGAGGUGCGAAAGCGUGGGGAGCAAACAGGAUUAGAUACCCUUGUAGUC